GCAAUAUCUGCGAAGCGCAAUAAAAUGAGGUAUGCCUGUAUUAUAAAAUUAAGGCCAGCUUGAUUUUGGUGCAGGAAAAUCCAUUCCGACGAGCAGCAAGACAACAGGAGGGGUCUGGUUCCUCGUCGUCCUCACCAGCAGGUGACAGCAGUGACGAUAGUAGCAUCAGCAGUGGCACUUCACCUUCAACUUCUCGAGAGCAUGUUGCGGUUGCCAUUGGGGAAGAUGAUGAAGGACUGCAGAGUGAAGAAAUGGAAGAAGAAGAAGAAGAAGAAACUCUGGCCUUCACCCUGGCAUCGGCAGGUGAACAUUCCAUUAACAGUGCUUCAGAAUCUCAAGAGGGAUUUGAUGCGGCUGCCGUAGUGAUGGCCCCCGGUCCUGCUGCCUUUCUUUCUAACAGGAACACAUCUUCUGGUGACAGGAAGCUAGAUCGUGUGGUGUGAUUAGAUCUGCUAGAUUGGAGAGUAAAACUCGGUCGGGCGGGGAACAGACGAAGAAGGUGCUUGUGUAGCCAAAGAAGUUUUAUAUGAUUGGUUGGUUGAUUGAGAACGGUGUGUGGGCCGUCAUUUUUUAAAGAACUUUACGUUGUAUUCUGCAGUACCCCAUAAAUGCUUACGAUCCUCCCUCUCAGUUAUACCUUUCAAGACGUAGGAUGUUCUGCCAUUUGCACAACGUUCUGUGUUCUCUGUUUUUAUUGUAUUUUGUUUGUAGUGGUAAUUCAUGACCAUUUCAGCGACAGCUAAUAAGACAAUGAAUUUUUUUUGCUGUUGCUGUGUCUGUAGACUUGUAAUGAAUUAUUUGUCGCAGGAGUGUUACUCAGACUAUCUGAUGGAAGUGGUUGAGCCAUGUGUACGAGUCGGCAGUCUCCGUUACUUUUAUAUUGGUAAUGCUAUGAUAUAUAGAUAAUGACAAUGCUUUAUGCUAUAUUAAAAGUAGGGGAACAUGGGGUACAAUGAAGGAGAAAAUUGUUUUGUCAUAAACCCUCAGACAUACUCAAUAUGUUUUACUGAAACAAUUUUUUUCUGCAUGAAGUGCAGUAAAUUAACACUUUGAUGUAUUUGUGUUUUAAUCAGUUCACGACAGACUUUAUUUGAAAUUAAAAAUGUCAGUCAUAUCAUUUGUUUCAGGACUCAGGACUUUUAAAUCUCAAAAUGCGGUUUGAAUACUGAAAAUACAAUGAAGUUUAAAAAUGCAGAUAGGCUGUUCCAAAAAAAACAAAAUCUGCCUGGAAUCGUGAUGUUUCUUUUGUUCAAAGCAUGUGACAGUCGUAGAACUGCAGAUAACAAAAAAGUGUAAGUUUGUUUUAACUCUUCGUCUGUUUUACUUUAUGUGGAUAUGAGAAAAAUUGAUGCCAAGGGAAAAAAUAUCUCUUCUGCCUCUUAGUCUGUCCACAAGAUGAUCGUUUAUGGAGAAUAAUUUUUAUCUGCUUUUCAUGGACUGAUGCUCUAUCUUAAAUUUCAGGUUUUAUCCUCCAAAGUGUUGCUUAUUUUAAGAAAAUUUACUUAAUAGUUAUCUUUGGUGCACAUCAUUUCUCCAACGUAAAAAUUAAUUUCAUUCCGUGGACAUACUGCUGGACAAGAGCAAAAUCCCCUUCGAAAGGUUCUUCUUCUAUUUUAUUAACAUUUUUGGAACACAUUACUUCUGUCACAUCAGUGCUGCUAACAUUUUUACAGCACUGUCCCCGAGUUUCAAAAUUGUAUGAAGAAACACUGUAAAUGUGUGGUUAUGUCAGACAUCAGGUAUCAAUUUAGGUAAACUGAAAUGUGAGUUGAGAGGCUGUGUUGAAACUGCAUUGUGUCAGUACUUUUUCAUAAAAGGAAAAUAAUUUGUUCCCAGGAAUGGAAAAGUACAACAUAUUGUUUACAUUUAUUCAUAAUAUCGAACUUAUAAAUAAAUGAGUGACGUAUGAAUGUUACGCUUGUAAUGGCACCAGCAAUGUAAUUGUUUGCAUUCCUCAACUUUGAUCAAGGAAAAGUAUUCGGAGUGUUUUAACACCGGUUAGUAUUCUGUAAACAGUGAAAGACAAAGCUCGAAGGUUCUACUUUUUUUCGGAAGCUUACGGCGUAUUUCACUUCUCACGAUGUAACAGAUCUUCAGUUAAG